rnacentral:miRNA from 1 species
CUCAAGUGUGUGUGUGAAAUA